CAAUAGCGUAUAUUAAAGUUGUUGCAGUUGAAAAGCUCGUAGUUGAACUUCAGACCUGGCUGAGCGGUCUGCCUUCUGGUAUGUACUGUUCGGCUGGGUCUUACCUCUUGGUGAGCCGGCAUGCUCUUUACUGGGUGUGUCGGGGAACCAGGACUUUUACCUUGAGAAAAUUAGAGUGUUCAAAGCAGGCUUAUGCCCGAAUACAUUAGCAUGGAAUAAUAAAAUAGGACGUGCGGUUCUAUUUUGUUGGUUUCUAGAGUCGCCGUAAUGAUUAAUAGGGAUAGUUGGGGGCAUUAGUAUUCCGUUGCUAGAGGUGAAAUUCUUGGAUUUACGGAAGACUAACUAUUGCGAAANCANNNGCCAAGGAUGUUUNCAUNAA
rnacentral:rRNA from 1 species